rnacentral:snRNA from 1 species
AUACUUAGCUGGCAGGGUGAAUACCAUGAUCAAAAAUGUAGUUUUUCUAGGUGAGGUCCCUAUGUUUCACUUGGCAUGUUACUAAUUGUACAAAUUCCCAAAAUACAGGAAAAUUGACUCCACAUUUUGAUGGC